UGUUAUGCAUUAUUUAACAGUUGUUGAAGACAAACAAGGGGGUAUGUUUCUCAAAGUGCACGCGCGUGGAAGCCAGACAUUAUGGACUGGAGUAGAACGGGGUUGGAGGGCGUUUUUAGGUAGUAUAUAGCGGUUUUCAAGGAUACACGCUAGAUUGAACAGCGAUUGAGUAUUACACCACAAAGGCACUGAAAACACUGCGAGGGACGUUUGAGCAGGUGAUCGGGUUUCUCCUCUGGCCCAUCAGCUGAAUAGGUGGGGCUUGAUCAAUGGCAGGAAACUGAAGGAUCAAAUGACAUAAAAUGGUGCCAGGCUGCGACAUGAAGGCAGAGGCUGUGAAACCGUACCCUCAUCAUCAGACUGUACAGUAGAAAGACAGAAUCACAAUCCUGGUGAAAGCAGGGCAUAAAAACACUGCUGCAUGAUAAGGAGCUGCGCAGGGACUUUGAACAUUUUAUUAGUAUCUAUAAAAGAGGCACAAGACGACGGACACACUGUCUAUAAAGCCCUAAUGGAGGAUCAAUUAAGAUGGUCAAGCUGCAGAAAGAGACUUUUACAGUGUAGGGUUUUAACACUAAACUUGUCCUUUCACACUAACGCUGAAACCACAAGACUGGAAAAUGCAGUGCAGGUUUAAUUCCAGCGCAUCUAGCAAUAUAUUGAGAUCACUAACAGUAAACAAGUUUGUUCUGGUGUAAAUAUAAAAUCAAGCAGAUUAAGAAUGACAGAAGGGUUGAGCUUACAUGUUUUAUGGGGACUUUCCAUGGACAUUCAUUUUUAUGUUGUUCAAACCGUAUGCAAUCCCUAAGUCUAAACUUAACCUGAAAGAAAUAAUUUUGCAUUCUUGUUAAGAAAACCUAGUUUACUGUGUUUUAUAAGCUGUACUUCACAAAAAAAGCCUAGCAGCAUUGGAAAUCCCCAAAGCACACAUUUAAUUUUUUUUUAUUAUUUAUCAGUCAAAAAUAAGACGUAUCUUUUUUUUGUCUACAUCAAAUUGAAUUUGUAAUUUUAUACACACAGAAAUAAUUUUGUGCAUCCACAAUUAAAGUGUCUAUCUCAAUGUUUCAGAUGACUUUAGUGAAAAAUAAAAUGUCAAAAUACUGCCAUAAUAAAAUGCAUAUUUUAAAUAAUAAUUUUUUUUCUAGUUGACAAAUGUGUAAAGAAAAGUGGAAAUAUGAAUACAAAAAUAUUAAAUUCAAUUAAUUUUUAUUUUAGGGCACAGUGAUCCUUAAAUAAAGUUUUUCUUUAAUAUAUUAUACAAUUAUUAUUGUACUAAAAACACCUGAUAAAAAAAGAA